UCUGGGCACCCUGAUAUAGUUGAAAAUGUCCCUGCUCAGUGCAGAGGGGAUGGACUAGAUGGCUUUUGAAGAUCCCUUCCAACCCAAACCAUUCUAUGAUUC